AUUGAACGCUGGCGGCAGGCCUAACACAUGCAAGUCGAGCGAGCGGCGGACGGGUGAGUAAUGUAUGGGGACUGCCCGAUAGAGGGGGAUAACUAAUGGAAAAGGUGGCGAAUACCGCCUACCAUCGGAUAACACAGAUGGGAUUAGCUAGUAGGUGGGGUAAAGGCUCACCUAGGCGACCAUCUCUAGCUGGUCUGAGAGGAUGAUCAGCCACCCUGGUACUGAGACCCGGCCCAGACUCCUACGGAGGCAGCAGUGGUGAAUAUUGCACAAUGGGCGCAAGCCUGAUGCCGCCAUGCAGCGUGUAUUAAGAAGGCCUUAGGGUUGUAAAGUACUUUCAGCGAGGAGGCGUUACCCGCAGAAGAAGCACCGGCUAACUCCGUGCCAGCAACCGCGGUAAUUC
rnacentral:rRNA from 1 species